rnacentral:rRNA from 1 species
AGAGUUUGAUCCUGGCUCAGAUUGAACGCUGGCGGCAGGCCUAACACAUGCAAGUCGAGCGGAUGAGUGGAGCUUGCUCCAUGAUUCAGCGGCGGACGGGUGAGUAAUGCCUAGGAAUCUGCCUGGUAGUGGGGGACAACAUUUCGAAAGGAACGCUAAUACCGCAUACGUCCUACGGGAGAAAGCAGGGGACCUUCGGGCCUUGCGCUAUCAGAUGAGCCUAGGUCGGAUUAGCUAGUAGGUGAGGUAAUGGCUCACCUAGGCGACGAUCCGUAACUGGUCUGAGAGGAUGAUCAGUCACACUGGAACUGAGACACGGUCCAGACUCCUACGGGAGGCAGCAGUGGGGAAUAUUGGACAAUGGGCGAAAGCCUGAUCCAGCCAUGCCGCGUGUGUGAA